GAAUCCUACGGGGCGCAGCAGUGAGGAAUAUUGGUCAAUGGGCGGGAGCCUGAACCAGCCAAGCCGCGUGAGGGAAGAAGGUACAGCGUAUCGUAAACCUCUUUUGUCAGGGAACAAAGGCGGGGACUAGUCCCCGGAUGAGGGUACCUGAAGAAAAAGCAUCGGCUAACUCCGUGCCAGCAGCCGCGGUAAUACGGAGGAUGCGAGCGUUAUCCGGAUUUAUUGGGUUUAAAGGGAGCGUAGGCCGCAUGUCAAGCGUGCUGUGAAAUGUCCGGGCUCAACCCGGGCCUUGCAGCGCGAACUGG
rnacentral:rRNA from 1 species